rnacentral:rRNA from 1 species
UGGGGAAUUUUGGACAAUGGGGGAAACCCUGAUCCAGCCAUCCCGCGUGUGCGAUGAAGGCCUUCGGGUUGUAAAGCACUUUUGGCAGGAAAGAAACGUCGCGGGUUAAUACCCCGCGGAACUGACGGUACCUGCAGAAUAAGCACCGGCUAACUACGUGCCAGCAGCCGCGGUAAUACGUAGGGUGCAAGCGUUAAUCGGAAUUACUGGGCGUAAAGCGUGCGCAGGCGGUUCGGAAAGAAAGAUGUGAAAUCCCAGAGCUUAACUUUGGAACUGCAUUUUUAACUACCGGGCUAGAGUGUGUCAGAGGGAGGUGGAAUUCCGCGUGUAGCAGUGAAAUGCGUAGAUAUGCGGAGGAACACCGAUGGCGAAGGCAGCCUCCUGGGAUAACACUGACGCUCAUGCACGAAAGCGUGGGGAGCAAACAGGAUUAGAUACCCUGGUAGUCCACGCCCUAAACGAUGUCAACUAGCUGUUGGGGUCUUCGGACCUUGGUAGCGCAGCUAACGCGUGAAGUUGACCGCCUGGGGAGUACGGUCGCAAGAUUAAAACUUAAAU